AAAUAGCUUUAGGGCUAGCCUCAAGUGAUGAUUCUUGGAGGUAGAGCACUGUUUGGACGAGGGGCCCCUCUCGGGUUAACGAAUUCAGACAAACUCCGAAUGCCAAUUAAUUUAACUUGGCAGUCAGAACAUGGGUGAUAAGGUCCGUGUUCGAAAGGGAAACAGCCCAGACCACCAGCUAAGGUCCCAAAAUAGAUGUUAAGUGGAAAAGGAUGUGGCGUUGACCAGACAACUAGGAUGUUGGCUUAGAAGCAGCCAUCAUUCAAUGAUAGCGUAAUAGACCACUAGACGAGUCACACUGCGC
rnacentral:rRNA from 1 species